rnacentral:lncRNA from 1 species
AAUCCCUGCUCCUCUUUGGAAUUUUGGUGUGCUGCAUGUUGACUUGAAAAUCUCAGCAAAACACGCCCUUGUUUUUGUUGAAUGCUACCGAAUUUGAAGGAGGUGUGUUUGUGGCCACCUGACAGAACGCCUUGAUAAUCUUCAACCUGUGCACUUACACCGACCAAGAAAUAUACAUUUCUUGAAUCAGGCUGGCUUUUGGGGAGGACCCACUUUUCAUCGCAGUGAUAACCUGUGAUCCCAAGGGCAGACAACGUAGGGGUUAGUCAACAAAAGAAAACCAGCAAGCUUUCUGUUACCAAACAAGACUUUCACAGACUCCUAAGGUCAUUCUGGCAGAACUUGUAUUUCAACACCCGACAUGGCACACACAGUUGCUGUGCUAGAAGAGUCCAUAGGAAGCAUGUGCUAGCCAGCUCGUCAGCAGUAGUCACUCACAGACACUGAGCUCUCCGCACUUUGACCCCACAGGCUGCCAGGCUUCAGCAGGACACAACAGCAAGCCCUUGAAAACUCCAUAGCUGUUCGUGUCUGAAGCUGCCGCCAACCCUUCCAAGCACAAUCUCAAUAUGCUCGGCAACACGGUGGAGGCGAGGUCAAAAAGAAAAAAAAAAGCAUUUCAGAAACCUCCAAAAACAGUCAUUGGGGAAGAUCAAGGCAGAGCUCAUAAAGUCUGAUAGAAGGUUCUAGAAG